GAGAAAUAGAAACCAUAAAAAGUUCAGUUUGAAGACAUUUCAAGUGUUGUUUGUAUACUGAUGGUACAUGUAGUAGUUUUUUGUCAAUUUUUAAAAUGUUUUAAUGAAACCAAAAUGCCAUAUGUGUGCCUACAUAGUUGGUUUUUAGUACCUCAAAGUGAGAAUCUCUCAACCCUUGUCCGCAAAGUAAUUCCGGCGUUAUUCACUGGAGUCAUGGGCAUGAAUAAUAUCAGUUAAUUAUGUUUGUACGAGGGUAUGUGCAUAUGAAUCAGCCAGAAAGGCUUUGUGUGUGUGUGUGUGUGUAGGUAGUUGUAAUUUCAUAAAUAAAUUUGCACUUAACAAAUGAGCAACAUAAGCAAAAUGUUGCUAAGCGCAGCAGCAACAGGCGGUGGUAAAAUUGCAGUCGGAGGGGCAGGCAGAAAGGGGGAGGGGGGCGACAAUGGGUAGUGGGAAAACAACAAGGAAGUCCGUGAAACAAAGCCAAGCUCAAUGAAAAAACGGGGCAAUGGCAGCCGCCAGACAAGAGCAAACAACAACAACAACAACACCAACUACACACAUAGUAUAACAGCCUGCAGAACGACGGAAUUAAAUUUUAAUUUUAAUCGCCAAAAAAGAAUAAACAGAUGGAGGAACGAAGGAAAGAGAUGGACAGAAAUACAAGGAAGCGACUUAUUCCACACAAACCAUACAUUCCUACAUAUAUGUAUGUACAAUGAAUGUAUGUAUGUACACCCAUGAACAUACAUAAUGGGGAUCGGCGUGCAGACAAAUAAAUUUCCAAGCAGAAGGCGAGCGGCCGCUGUGCAGCCACUGAAAACUGAAAAUGCAAGCGCACAGCUGCGGCCAAGAUAAUAGGACACAAAUUAGGCUGACAAAUAAUGCAUAGUGUAAUGCUAACAAUUCGUAAGCUGCUAAGAUUUUUACUUGCUGUGUAAAUUUUUUUCGACAAUAAUUUUAUUAAAUUCAUGUGAAACUAUACUGCUACCCGCGCCUGUGCACGCAUCGUGGAAUUUAAUAAACACCGAUCCGAACAAAACAGAACAGAACAGACACGGCCAUAUGCAUGAAGGCUGUGUGGAUUUGUACAUAAAUCCCUGCGAGACGAUCGCCAGAGCCACAACAACUACAAACAACUUCCAAAACAACAACAACCAAGGAACCCGCAGAACAACAAUAAUAAUAA
rnacentral:sRNA from 1 species